UGGUCAUUACCAAGGCUGCUAGGAUGUUGUUCCUAGUGAGUUGUGGACAUGGCCAUAAAGCAAGUCCAUUAGAUUCUUGAAUUGCCACAUAAUGUGGCACCGAGUCUGAUGGAAUAAAGC
rfam:Picoides pubescens contig80108, whole genome shotgun sequence.